rnacentral:misc_RNA from 1 species
UCAUCGAAUAAAAUCGAAUAAAAUUAUAAUCAAAUAAAAUCGAAUAUAAUCAUCAUCAAAUAAAAUCAAAAAUAACCAUCAUCAAUUAAUAUUAAAUAAAAUUAUCAUCAAAUAAAAUUCAAAAAAAUCAUCAUCAAAUAAAACCAAAUAAAAUCCUCAUUAAAUAAAAAUAAAAAAAAUCAUCAUCUAAUAAAAUCGCAUAAAAUCAUCAUCAAAUAAAAUCGAAUAAAAUCAUCAUCAAAUAAAAAU